rnacentral:lncRNA from 1 species
CUAAAACUACCUUUUUUGUUGGUUUUGUGCAAAAUCCGAGACCACCACGAGGUUCAGAAGAGAAUUCUGACCAACCCCAGAAAAAAUCACCGGAAACCAACUAGCCACGCGCCCCCACGCGCCGGCAAUACCCUCGGCGCGUGAGCCCACGCGCCGGCGCGUGAGGGCCCUUCCGGCCACUUUUUCAGUUUGCUCCAGAAGGACAGUUUGGUCGGCCUUCAUUUCCGACCCUACCCAUCCUUUUUCCG